rnacentral:rRNA from 1 species
GUCCACGCCCUAAACGAUGUCAACUGGUUGUCGGGAGCAUCUGGUACGAGCUACGCGUGAAGUUGACCGCCUGGGGAGUACGGCCGCAAGGUUAAACUCAAAGGAAUUGACGGGGACCCGCACAAGCGGUGGAUUAUGUGGAUCAAUUCGAUGCAACGCGAAAAAACCUUACCUACCCUUGACAUGUACGGAACCCUUCAGAGAUGGAGGGGUGCCCGAAAGGGAGCCGUAACACAGGUGCUGCAUGGCUGUCGU